CAAAGGGAUUACCGGUGGCGGAUGGGCAUGCGGCGCAUUAGCUAGUCGGCGGGGUAACGGCCCACCGAGGCGACGAUGCGUAGGGGUUCUGAGAGGAAGGUCCCCCACACUGGUACUGAGACACGGACCAGACUCCUACAGGAGGCAGCAGUGAGGAAUAUUGGUCAAUGGGCGCGAGCCUGAACCAGCCAAGUCGCGUGAGGGAUGACGGUCCUACGGAUUGUAAACCUCUUUUGCCGGGGAGCAAGCGUGCGUUCGUGAACGCGCGUCGAGAGUACCCGGAGAAAAAGCAUCGGCUAACUCCGUGCCAGCAGCCGCGGUAAUACGGAGGAUGCGAGCGUUAUCCGGAUUUAUUGGGUUUAAAGGGUGCGUAGGCGGGAUGCCAAGUCAGCGGUAAAAAUGCGGUGCUCAACGCCGUCGAGCCGUUGAAACUGGCGUUCUUGAGUGGGCGAGAAGUAUGCGGAAUGCGUGGUGUAGCGGUGAAAUGCAUAGAUAUCACGCAGAACUCCGAUUGCGAAGGCAGCAUACCGGCGCCCUACUGACGCUGAGGCACGAAAGCGUGGGUAUCGAACAGGAUUAGAUACCCUGGUAGUCCACGCAGUAAACGAUGAAUGCUAACUGUCCGGCUCGAAUGAGCGCUGG
rnacentral:rRNA from 1 species